GUAGGGAAUAUUGGGCAAUGGUCGGAAGACUGACCCAGCCAUGCCGCGUGCAGGAAGACGGCCCUCUGGGUUGUAAACUGCUUUUAUCUGGGAAGAAAAAGGCCAUGCGUGGCAAAUUGCCGGUACCAGAUGAAUAAGCACCGGCUAACUCCGUGCCAGCAGCCGCGGUAAUACGGAGGGUGCGAGAGUUGUCCGGAUUUAUUGGGUUUAAAGGGUGCGUAGGCGGCUGAUUAAGUCAGCGGUGAAAGACUUCGGCUUAACCGGAGCAGUGCCGUUGAUACUGGUUGGCUUGAGUGUCGGAGGGGUACAUGGAAUUGAUGGUGUAGCGGUGAAAUGCAUAGAUACCAUCAGGAACACCGAUAGCGAAGGCAUUGUACUGGCCGACAACUGACGCUGAUGCACGAAAGUGUGGGGAUCGAACAGGAUUAGAUACCCGGGUAGUCC
rnacentral:rRNA from 1 species